rnacentral:rRNA from 1 species
AUGGUGUUGCUUGACAUUAGGGGAAUGUUGCAGUCAAUGGGUAAAGACAUUGUUGAUUUUGCUCUUCCAAACAUAGAUGAUGCGUUUGACCCUGCAGAGGGCGAGGCAAGAGAGGUUAUCGAGGAAUCAACCGUUGAGUUUGACAUGGAUGACACAAAAUUGGCAUCUUCACUCAACAUGGAGCAGAGGGCCGCAUACGAUGAGAUACUAGGGGCUGUUGAACACGGUGAUGGGGGUGUUUUCUUUGUUGAUGGCCCUGGAGGUACAGGUAAGACCUUCCUAUAUAGGGCGAUGCUUGCCAAGGUGAGAAGUCAGGGCAAGAUUGGUAUUGCUACCGCGACGUCCGGCAUCGCCGCUUCUAUCAUGCCUGGCGGCAGGACUGCCCACUCCAGGUUCAAGAUCCCAUUG